rnacentral:rRNA from 1 species
UACAGAGGGUGCGAGCGUUAAUCGGAAUUACUGGGCGUAAAGCGUGCGCAGGCGGUUCGUUAAGACAGAUGUGAAAUCCCCGGGCUUAACCUGGGAACUGCAUUUGUGACUGGCGAGCUAGAGUAUGGCAGAGGGGGGUAGAAUUCCACGUGUAGCAGUGAAAUGCGUAGAGAUGUGGAGGAAUACCGAUGGCGAAGGCAGCCCCCUGGGCCAAUACUGACGCUGAGGCACGAAAGCGUGGGGAGCAAACAGG